rnacentral:lncRNA from 1 species
ACACACACACACACACACUCUCAGGGCUCAAGAUCUAGAACCUCUUAGGAGCUUUGUCCCAUACCACUAUCUUCUUGCUUUGAGUCCCUUUAUCUGUUAUGCACAUUUGGUACUUACCACCUGCUGGCUUCAGUUAUUAUUUAACCUCACACACCGGGUGUUUGUCUCUUCAACUGGCCUACAAACUGCCCAAGGGCAGGAAAUCAUUUCAAUACACCCAGUAUUUAUUGAACACCACCUCCCGUGCCAGGCUGGGCCUGCGAGGGAUGAGUUGGGGGGAUGGGGGAGGCUUCAAAGAACCAGAUUUAGUUUCUGCCUCAAGGACUUUCUAAUCUGGUUAGAACAGGAUUAGUAAACAGAUCACUAGAACAGGAGACAGGCCGCUGGCCAUGCCUGGGAAAGGUACAAACCAAGUGUGUUGGGCUUGGGGAGGAGAGGGGAUUCAGAUUUGGUUGGUGGCGUUUCAAGGGACCCUUAUGAGCUGAAGCCAAGGGAUGGCUAGACACGGAGGACAAGCACUCCUGUCAGGGACAUGGCACAGCAAAUAUGGAUCUGGGAAGGAGGAAGAAUAAAGGAUUUUAGGAAUUGUAACAAACUUUUCAUGACAUCCUUAGCAGGACCCAACACAGAACCUUCCUCAGGUAGGUGCGCAGCAUAUAAAUCCUUUGUCCCCUCCUCAGUUCGGAGGGGGUGGAACCUUCUGGACCAGCACUCAGCCCUCAGUUGUCUUUCUGCAGAAACAUGAGUAAGGAGAAAUCCCGGUUCUGAAUAAACCAGGAUUUGGAACUGGACAAACGGAAGGGUCAGGCUUCAGGGCCAGUUUGGGGUCUUCGUGCUAAUCCCUG